UACGAAGGGGGCUAGCGUUGUUCGGAAUUACUGGGCGUAAAGCGCACGUAGGCGGAUAUUUAAGUCAGGGGUGAAAUCCCGGGGCUCAACCCCGGAACGGCCUUUGAUACUGGGUAUCUUGAGUGUGGUAGAGGUGAGUGGAAUUGCGAGUGUAGAGGUGAAAUUCGUAGAUAUUCGCAGGAACACCAGUGGCGAAGGCGGCUCACUGGACCACAACUGACGCUGAGGUGCGAAAGCGUGGGGAG
rnacentral:rRNA from 1 species